rnacentral:rRNA from 1 species
UGGGGGAUAUUGCGCAAUGGGGGGAACCCGUGACGCAGCAACGCCGCGUGAAGGAAGAAGGUCUUCGGAUCGUAAACUUCUGUCUUCAGGGACGAAGAAUGACGGUACCUGAGGAGGAAGCCACGGCUAACUACGUGCCAGCAGCCGCGGUAAUACGUAGGUUGCAAGCGUUGUCCGGAUUUACUGGGUGUAAAGGGCGUGUAGGCGGAGAUGCAAGUUGGGAGUGAAAUCCCGGGGCUCAACCCCGGAACUGCUUUCAAAACUGUUCCCCUUGGGUAUCGGAGAGGCAAGCGGAAUUCCUAGUGUAGCGGUGAAAUGCGUAGAUAUUAGGAGGAACACCAGUGGCGAAGGCGGCUUGCUGGACGACAACUGACGCUGAGGCGCGAAAGCGUGGGGAGCAAACAGGAUUAGAUACCCUGGUAGU